rnacentral:pre_miRNA from 1 species
AAAGUACUCCCUCCGUCCCAAAAUUCUUGUGUUAGAUUUGUCUAGAUACAGAUGUAUCAAGUCACAUUUUACUAUUAGAUACAUCCGUAUCUAGACAAAUCUAAGACAAGAAAUUUGGGACAAAGGGAGUAGUUG